UACGUAGGGAGCAAGCGUUGUCCGGAUUUACUGGGUGUAAAGGGUGCGUAGGCGGCUCUGUAAGUCGGGCGUGAAAGGUGUGGGCUUAACUCACAAACUGCGUUCGAAACUGUGGAGCUUGAGUGAAGCAGAGGCAGGCGGAAUUCCCGGUGUAGCGGUGAAAUGCGUAGAGAUCGGGAGGAACACCAGUGGCGAAGGCGGCCUGCUGGGCUUUAACUGACGCUGAGGCACGAAAGCAUGGGUAGCAAACAGGAUUAGAUACC
rnacentral:rRNA from 1 species